UUUUUUUAGUUUCUGUAAAUAUACUGUUGUGCUUGUUUUAAUUAUUGAUUUGUGACAUAAAUCCCAUUUCUAAUCAACAAUGCGAUUGACAGUACGUCCAUGAAAUCACUCGGUCCUUAUGAUUCUCUCUCUCUCUCUUUUUGUUUUAUUGCCGCACUAUUUUUGUGAAGCUCUGUUUUUUUCCGUUUCUGUUCCUCAUUUGUUUAUUACACCGUUGUUGUCUCUCUAAUGACCAAGAUCUUGUGACUCCUUCCCUAUAUUACAAAACCCAAACCUCAAAUUCCCCAGAUAAAAAAAGCUUCUGGAUUCCAGUCGUUUCUCAUCAUUCUCUCAUAUCUUGGUUCUCAAAGUCCAAAUCUUUAUGUUUCCCAUGUAAAACCAGCGCCAAACUUGACAAAAGAUUUUCAGAGUUGUGGAUUGGAUUUUGGUCCGGUGACUGGACGGCGGAGCAAUGCGGACUGACGGAGGGAAGAUUUCCAAGCCCUCGUGGCCGAAAGCAGUGGCGAGGAAAUGGCUCAACAUACCAAACAAAGGGGACGAUUUUCAUUCCGAUUACUCUCCGAAAUACGAGACUGGGAGAAGGAAGAGCUGCUCGGACCAAGACCGCUAUGUCAUCGUACCGGACGAUUUUUCAGAUGGGUGUACCUUGGUGGGGAAAACAACACAUAGACCAGGUUUUGGGAUGGAGCCACCAACUUUCACUAAUGAUCUCAAUCUCAAAAUGUUCGUGGGGACAUGGAAUGUUGGAGGGAAAUCACCCCACGAGGACUUGAACUUGAGGGAGUGGCUGAGGUCCCCUACUCCCGCGGACAUCUAUGUUCUUGGGUUCCAAGAAAUUGUCCCUCUGAAUGCCGGUAACGUAUUGGGUGCGGAGGACAAGGCCCCUGCUGCCAAGUGGGUGACGCUUAUUCGUGAAGCAUUGAACAAGAAUGACUCUGGACUUUCGCAUUAUUACAGCAAUGCCACCCACACACAACAUUCUUCACAGCUUGACCAGCAAGGCAAGCCUAGGCUCAGCUUCUCCGACUUGCUUUCUUUAGAAGACGAACUUAGCGAUGCGGACUUUGAAAGACUUCUGAAUUUGAAUCCGGCAUCGACUUCAAGUGGAGAAAACUCACCAGCCUCGCCAUUGAUGUGUCCAUGGAAAGGCAAUAGUCCAAGGCAAGGACAUCGUUAUUGCCUAUCAGCAAGCAAGCAGAUGGUUGGAAUUUUUUUGUGCGUGUGGGUUCGUGCAGAUCUUUGUAGACACAUUAGCGACACGAAGGUGUCGUGCGUCGGUACAGGCAUAAUGGGAUACCUUGGAAACAAGGGUUCAAUAUCAAUCAGCAUGACGUUGCAUGGAACAACAUUUUGUUUUGUGUGUGCACAUUUGACCUCUGGGGAGAAAGAAGGGGAUGAGAUGAGAAGGAACUCAGAUGUCGUGGAAAUCUUAAAGAAAACAAGCUUUUCUCAUUCAUGUAGAACAAGGGGACAACUGCUUCCUCCUGAUAGCAUUUUAGACCAUGAUAAGGUUAUUUGGCUCGGGGAUUUAAAUUAUCGGCUUGCAGCUGCUUGCUGCAGUGACACACAUGAACUACUAAAGAGGCACAAUUGGCAGGCACUUUUAGAGAAGGAUCAGCUAAUUUUAGAGCAGCAAGCCGGCCGAGUGUUUAAAGGGUGGGAGGAAGGGAGGAUAUAUUUUGCUCCAACCUACAAAUACCUAGCAAAUUCUGAUCAUUACGUCGCCCAAUCUUCCAACUCCAGAGAGAAGAGACGCACUCCUGCUUGGUGUGACAGGAUUUUAUGGAAGGGGGAAGGGCUUAAACAAAUGUGUUACAUGAGAGGGGAGUCGAAGUUCUCAGACCACAGACCAGUUUAUUCGUUGUUUUCGGUCCGAUUAGACUGGGCUGCCAAGAAAAAGCCCAACUCUUGCGUGCUCAAGUCAUCAGCCAAAGUGCAGGCAGAAGAGCUUUUGCUGCUCACCAGAACCAAAAGCGUAGACACCAUCUCAAGGUUCUGAUUUAAUUACUGCCAAACACAGCCCACAUUUUUGAAGGCCAAAAGCAGAAGCAGAAGCAGCCAGCCAACCAAUUUGUUGGGACUGAAAUAUUAAGCUCUCCAAGGCAUGCUUAAAUUUUUGAAGGCAUGAUGAUGAUGAAGUUUGAGUUGGUAGUGGAGCAGAGAAGCAGAAGCACACAAGCUGCUAAGGACUGGGGAAAGUGGAGAUGGUGAGUGAAAGCAGCUUCUGUGAAAAGCUGAAUUGUAAGUGGUUAAUCAGCUUUUUGCAGAAGAAUGCAUCUUUGUUUGAGAUUAAGUAGGGGGAGAGGGAACAGAGAGAGGAGGUUUAUUAGAAGUUGAGAUAUGUAGAAAAAAGGACAGUUUUGAAUGAAUGUUUCUGUUAAGGAACUGGGGGUAGUGGCUUUGUAGUAGUGUCUUUGCUCCCCAUAUUGUUUGCUCUUGCAAUUUACCAGUGAAACCCUUUCAUAUUUCCGACUUAUUUUUGGG